UUUGUACUCCCUCUGUUCCAAAUUACACGUCGCAGAAGUGGAUGUAUCUAGAACUAAAAUACAUCUAGAUAUAUCCAUACCUGCGACAAGUAAUUCGGAAUGGAGGGAGUACUAC
rnacentral:pre_miRNA from 1 species